UUCACGUCAACAAGAUUCACCUUUACCGUCGGUACAUGAACCUGGAUCAAAGGUGCAUAAUAGUCAUAAUAAAUUGGUAACGAUCCCCCCUCGUACCGAGGCUCAACUUUCAGGAAAUCUGUCAAGCGCCCAAAGUAUAAAGAGACCUAGAUAUAGUUAUGAGCAAGCAAAGUCCAACAAUACUACAGCACUGAAUGAGCACCAGAUGCACAACUUACCGCAAUCUUCAAGUGGUUUCAGUGCGCAACCGAAAGCACCAAAGCCAGGAACCAGUAGCAGUUUGAAAGCACAGACAAAAUCAGAGUCAAAAUCAGAGCUGGUAAUAAUUG
rnacentral:lncRNA from 1 species